UACAGAGGGUGCAAGCGUUGCUCGGAAUCAUUGGGCGUAAAGGGCAGGUAGGUGGUCCCAUUUGUCUGAGGUGAAAGCCUUCGGCUUAACCGGGAGAGGUCGGUAGAAACUGCCAAGCUUGAGGACGGUAGAGGGGGGUGGAAUUCCUGGUGUAGCGGUGGAAUGCGCAGAUAUCAGGAGGAACAUCCGUGGCGAAGGCGGCUCUCUGGGACGGUACUGACGCUGAGGAGCGAAAGCGUGGGGAGCGAACAGG
rnacentral:rRNA from 1 species